UACGGAGGGUGCGAGCGUUAUCCGGAUUCACUGGGUUUAAAGGGUGCGUAGGCGGCCCGUUAAGUCCGGGGUGAAAGCCCGUUGCUCAACAACGGAACUGCCCCUGGAUACUGACGGGCUUGAGUACAGACGAGGUUGGCGGAAUGGACCGAGUAGCGGUGAAAUGCAUAGAUACGGUCCAGAACCCCGAUUGCGAAGGCAGCUGGACUAGGCUGUUACUGACGCUGAGGCACGACAGCGUGGGGAGCGAACAGG
rnacentral:rRNA from 1 species